UGUUAUGAGUACCUGUUUCCUCGGCGGGCUUGCCCGCCAUCAGGACAUUAAAAACCCUUUGCUAGUACGCAGUAACUUCAGUUUAAUAAUAACAUAUUAAAACUUUCAACAACCGGAUCUCUUGGGUUCUGGACAUCGACUGAAGAACCGCAGCGAAAUUGCGAUAAGUAGUGUAGAAUUGCAGAAUUCAGUGANAUCAUCGAAUCUUUGAACGCACAUUGCGCCCUUCGGUAUUCCGUUGGGCAUGCCUGUUCGAGCGUCAUUUAAACCUUCAAGCUAUGCUUGGUGUNGGGUGUUUGUUCCGCCUCAGCGCGUGGACUCGCCUUAAAUUCAUUGGCAGCCGGUAUGUUGGCUUCGUGCGCAGCACAUUGCAAGCGACUUCAGUCAUACCCCCUUCCACAAGACCUNUAUUUUUAGCUUUGACCUACGGAUCAGGUAGGGAUACCCGCUGAACUUAAGCAUAUCAA
rnacentral:rRNA from 1 species